rnacentral:lncRNA from 1 species
AAAAAAUAGAGGGAGAAAGACAAACAACAAAAAAGCAGAAAUAAUAAAAAGAAGAGGAUUUCUUUGGGUUUGGAGAAUUGAAUUUGGGUUCCGUUUGAAGUUUUCGGUGAUGAUUUUCUCGCAUCAUUACUCAGUUUAAAUCAUCACAGGUUCUUAUUUGAUUCUAUAUCAUUUAUGUUAUGAGUUUUAUCAUGAAAAUCAUGUACGAAAAUAUUUGAAUAAUCUCAAUGCAUUAUUUAAUAUGUAUAUUUGAUUAUGUAAAUAUUUUGUUACCACACAUUAUACUAUUAAUUUACUGAGUGCAUAUAUAUUUGUUCAAUAGAUGUGUUGUGAAUUAGAACUUUGUGUGUUAAUAUAUUCAGUUAAAAAAAUGGGGACAAAAAAUAAAAAUAAAAGAAAGGUAAGAAUAGGCCAUACACAGCCGUAAAACACACACAUGCACGCAUCGAAAAUAAUGAUAGAGUGAACGGAAAGGGCAAAAAUCAGCCCCGGACUAGUUUUUCCAGCGGAGUUUCAUUGGAAUCGUGGCCCCAUCAUGAAAUCCAGCCACCACCAUACCAAUGCCGCCCCAUCUCUUUCGCUGCCUCGCCGAAUUUGACCACCGACGGGAGAGUUUUGAUCAAGAAACACCAUAGCUGCCACUCCAUUUUACCUCUCCCUGUUGCCUCGUCGGAGAUACCCGACCCACCGUUGAACUGUACCACCGCCACUGCCAGUGAACCACAAACCAGUAGUAUCAACGCUACUCUGGCGAAAUACUUCAGAAAAAAACAACGCUGGAUCGUCUUUGUUUUUAUCCCUAAUAAUUUCUAAAAAUUACUUUUUUUUUGUAGAUAUAUAUGGUUGUUGUAUUUCUGGUGUUGCUCCACUGAAAGACCGUUGAAGCAACGCCGAUGAUCUCUUAAUUUAUAGUUUCUUUAUUUUUGGUUACUGAGUUUAUUUUUUAUCAAAUUUUAGAGGUUUUGUAUUAGAGUUAAUUAAAAGAGAUUAAAUUUUGAGGAUAAUAUUAAAUUUAGUAUAAUAUGGGUAG